rnacentral:rRNA from 1 species
AUGCUUCAUAGGAUAUCAUGUGAAAAUUCUUUUGGUCACAUCAUGUUUGACAACCCAUUGAACUUGUCAUAUGCUAUGAGUGAGAUCUCCCAUAUUGCCUCAUUUCAAUCUCAACAUAGUAACUAUGCAUGCCCCAUUAGAAUAAAUCUCAUUUGCACUUAUGGCAUAGAUGACGAGAUGAUGGCCAUAGGCUUUUGCUUCUCUUGUGAUGAUAUUGCCAUGCUUCCUUUACAUGAUUUGUGCAAUUCAUCUACUAUGUCAUGCCAUGAUCACAUUGUUCCAAAUAUGCAUUGUUUUGGAUGUUGUCAAUAUUCUCCACGUUAUGUUUCUACUCUUGCUCAUGAGGAGACCCCCAUAGUUUCCUCAUACAUAUUAGGAGAUUUUGAUUCAUCCCAUACUUUGCAUGAUUCACAUAAUUGCUUGCACCAUAUGCAUUCCAUGAAUAACAAUGCUCUAGAUAUUUCUCAUGAUACAUUACACAAUUUGAGUCUCCAUUAUGAAAUACAUAAUAACAAACCUCUCAUGAUGGAUGACAUGUUUCUAUAUCACACAUCUCAUUUAUUUAAGCAUUGGAUAUUUUGUGCUCACUAA